AUGAGACAAUCCCUGGAUUCCCAAAUCUUCCUAGUCGGGGUUCAGCAUUGAGGACAGGACACUCAUCAUGGGCUUAAGGCUCAUAUUUGUUUUGUUUGUUCUUAUUUUAAAAGGUGUCCAGUGUGAGAUGCAAUUGCUGGAGUCUGGGGGAGGCUUAGUGCAGCCUGGAAAGACCCUGAAAAUCUCCUGUGCAGCCUCUGGAUUCACCUUCAGUAGCUUCUGGAUGAGCUGGGUCCGCCAGGAUCCAGGGAAGAAGCUGGAGUGGGUCGCAAACAUUAAUGAAGUUGGUGGUACCACCCUCUAUACUGACGCUGUGAAGGGCAGGUUCACAAUCUCCAGAGACAAUGCCAAGAACACUCUGUACCUGGAAAUGAGCAGUCUGAAGUCUGAGGACACAGCCAUGUAUUACUGUGCUAAGACACAGUGA